UAGACAACUUUAGCCAGUUAGCCUGGGUGCUUGAUUGCGGUUGUGAGGUCAGAACUCUCGGAUCAAUCCCAAUUCUCCGCAGAGCGUCCAGUGUGCUCUGAAAAUACGAACAGACAACAGAACAGCGCACUGAAUUUACGCACUCUGACACACUGGAGACAAUUUACGAACGCGCCCGAAAUCGCCUCAAUUGGGAUGAACCUCAUCAUAGCUAGACAACAAGCCGAACAGGAGGUAGCUACGGCAGGGGGUUCACAAAAACACCAGACGAACACCUAGCUAAUGGGAAUAGUACUGCUCUUGGUGACAGCCUUUCAUGUGUCUUUGUCACCCUGUGCCUUUCUGUUGAUAAAGGACAGUGGGACCAAGAGAUGUCUGCGCCGGGUUUUACGAGCCUGAAAACCUCUCUCGGUCACAGCUUGAAUUCAACGCCGAAUGGUGGAGCAGCACCCCCCUAUCAGAAUGGUCCAGGGGGGCAGACUUACCCAUCCACAUAUCCUUUGACGGGGUACUAUGGAGCCGGGCCUCAACAGCAGGGCAACCCAACCAUUCCAGGCCAGUGUGCCCCUGCCCCCCCAAAAGCUCCAAUCACGAACAAUGAUCACAGUGCUUACUGCCACCAGCAGCCGCUGCAGCCCACUGCUGCACCUACUGUAGCACCCUCUGCAUACGGAGCAACCCAAGGCUCCCACCCUCCCUCUCUGCCCUAUGGCACCCCCACCACUCUUCCCACUUCCGCUACCCCUCCAAACCCCCAACAUGCACCUUCAUUCCAACAACCAGCCCCAUACGCACAGCCUGGGGCCUACUAUGGACAGCAGCAGUACCCUACCUCCCAAACGCAACACCACCCCCAGCAGCCAAACUUGGUUUUGGCACCCCCCACCAGCCCAGGUGCUCCCCUGUAUCCCAUUGUCUCGUACCCCUCUGUUCCGGGAAGCAGCCAGUACGGUACAUUGCGUUCCUCCCAGGCUCCCACCGGCCCAGCAGCUGUUCCCAACCUGAUGGGCGCUCCCCUCCACCAGUACGCCCCAGGAAAUGACACCAGUCACCCAGCAUCUACUGCAGCGGUUCCCCCUGGGUAUAGCAUGGCUCCACCUGGCCAACCAGCCACAGUCAACGGCCAGGGUAAUGCAGACCCAGUCCUCCAGCACUAUGACCAAAGUCACCAGGCACCCAUGACACAUGACCACUACAGAGGAGGAGUCAAACACAACACUGGGGGUGCUGACCGGGACAUGCCACCUUUAGGAAUCCCAUCCACUUCAGUUAAUUCCUCCCCAGGGCAUCAGCAAGGCAUGCACUACGGAUAUUUAGCCAAUAGUGGCGCUAGCUCUGCCAACGCCGCCGCCAACGUUGCCCCCUCGUCAUCCAGCUCUGAUGAGGAUGAUGAGGAGGAGGAGGAGGAUGAGGAAGCAGGCGGGGAUAGUUCCUCAACCACCACCGGCAGUGCGUCCCCGGUGCCCAACAGCUACGACUCCCUGGAAGGCGGCAGCUACCCAGAGUUCUCCAAUCCACCGUCUGCCGACAUGCCCAAUCAGCCAGUCUAUCAGCAGAGGCCGGUCUCCAGGACAGACUCCUCCCCCUCACACGGCGGGUACAACCAAACUGGCUAUCAGCAUUUGCCACAGCCCUUCCCUAACAUGUCCCAGCUGUCUGCGGCCCUCGGGGGACUGAGCGGUGUACCAGAGCUGGAGGUGGAGGCGCUGCGGCCGGUCAACCUGCUGCAGGAGAGGAACCUGCUGCCCCACCAGCCCCUGGAUGCCCCAGAACCCAACCUCAGCGCUGACCUAAAGAAGGCCAACUGCAGCCCGGACACGUUCAGGUGUACUCUGACCAACAUCCCCCAGACCCAGGCCCUGCUGAAUAAAGCCCGGCUUCCCCUAGGCCUGCUCCUGCACCCCUUCAGAGACCUCGCACAACUCCCAGUGAUCACGUCCAACACCAUAGUGAGAUGUCGCUCCUGUCGCACCUACAUUAACCCCUUCGUUUCCUUCCUGGACCAGAGGAGAUGGAAAUGCAAUCUCUGUUACAGGGUCAACGAUGUUCCUGAUGAGUUUAUGUAUAACCCAGUGACCCGCUCGUAUGGAGAGCCCCACAAGAGGCCAGAGGUACAGAACUCCACUGUGGAGUUCAUAGCCUCUUCAGAUUACAUGCUGCGUCCCCCUCAGCCUGCAGUGUACCUGUUUGUGCUGGAUGUGUCUCACAACGCGGUGGAGGGAGGCUACCUGAACGUCUUCUGUCACACCCUACUGGAAAACCUGGACAAGAUGCCUGGGGACACGCGCACCCGAGUUGGCUUCAUCACCUUCAACAGCACCAUCCACUUCUACAACCUCCACGAGAGCCUCUCACAGCCCCAGAUGUUGGUGGUCUCCGACAUCGACGAUAUCUUCAUUCCAACCCACGACAGUCUCCUGGUGAACCUGAAGGAAAGCAGAGUGCUGGUGAGGGUACUGUUGACCUCCCUACACAGCAUGUUUAGCCAGACCAGGGAGACUCACAGUGCCCUGGGCCCGGCACUGCAGGCUGCCUACAAACUCACGUCCCCCACGGGGGGCCGCGUCUCCGUGUUCCAGACCCAGCUACCCACGCUGGGCCCAGGCCUGUUGCAGUCCCGGGAGGACCCCAACCAGAGGUCCAGUACCAAGGGGGUCCAACACCUGGGCCCAGCCACAGACUUCUACAAAAAGCUGGCCCUGGACUGUUCUGGCCAACAGAUAGGAGUGGACCUGUUCCUCCUCAGCUCCCAGUACUCUGACCUGGCCUCACUAGCCUGUAUGUCUAAGUUCUCAGCGGGCAGUAUCUUCUACUACCCCUCGUUGCACCACGUUCACAACCCGGCCCAGCUGGACAAGUUCCAGAAGGAUCUGGAGCGCUACCUCACCAGGAAGAUCGGCUUCGAGGCCGUUAUGAGGAUACGAUGCACCAAAGGCUUGUCCAUCCACACGUUCCACGGGAACUUCUUUGUGCGCUCGACGGACCUGCUGUCCCUGGCCAACAUUAACCCUGACUCGGGCUUCGCCGUGCAGAUGUCUAUAGAGGAGAGCCUGGCCGACACCUCACUGGCCUGCUUCCAGUCUGCGCUGCUGUACACCUCCAGCAAAGGGAAGAGGCGGAUCAGGGUCCAUACUCUGUGUCUGCCAGUGGUGAGCCAGCUUAGUGAUGUAUAUGCCGGGGCUGACGUUCAGGCCAUCACCUGCCUCCUAGCCAACAUGGCCAUUGACCGGUCGAUAUCGUCAAGCCUGUCGGAUGCCCGGGAUGCCCUGGUGAAUGCGGUGGUGGACUCUCUGAGUGCAUACAAGAACACUGUAUCUAAUAUCCAGCAGUCUGGUCUUAUCGCCCCUGCAGCCCUGUGUCUCUUCCCCCUCUACGUGCUGGCACUACUCAAACAGAAAGCACUGCGCAUGGGGACCAGCACCAAGCUUGACGAGCGUGUCUUCGCCAUGUGUGAGUUCAAGAGCCAGCCGCUGCAACAGAUCAUGCAUGCGGUCCACCCCGACCUCUACCGCCUGGACACCAUGUCAGACCAGGGGGCUCUCCACCUGAACGACUGCAUAGUGCCCCAGCCUCAUCUGCUGCACCUCACGGCUGAGAAGCUGACCAGAGAAGGAGCAUUCCUCAUGGACUGUGGCAGCGUCUUUUACUUGUGGAUUGGGAAAUGCUGUAAUGAUGUGUUCAUUCGGGACGUGUUGGGAUGCCCAAACCAUGCUUCUAUACCCCCUAGCAUGGUUAGUGAGGCACAGACCUUCAUUAGACACAAUGUGACAUAUCUACCGCUGUGUGUAACUCAGUGUUUUAUCUCCAGCUGGUGCUUCACAACGAACCCAAAUUCCUGAGCUGGAAACCCCUCUGUCUGAACGACUGCGUGCACUCCUCGCCUGGCUACAGGACUCGAGACCCUUCAGCUCAACUCUUCACGUCGUGAAGGACGAUGCUACAGCGAAGACCAGCUUUUUCCAGCACUUGGUAGAGGACCGGUCGGAGUCGGCCCUCUCCUACUACGAGUUCCUGCUCCACAUUCAGCAACAGAUGUCCAAGUAGGACACAUUGAGCAGAAGGUCCCUUGAAUGUGGCACAUGACAAACUGAAAGCUCCAUCAGACUGACUGUAGUGAGGUAGUAGGACCACCGAUGGACAACGCCACCACCCCAACCCCACCGAACCCCUAGCUCUCUGGUCAACCGCGGCCUAUGACUGUGGGAGUGGGAGGCUGGUGGAAUGACCAAAGUGAAGAUGACUUCCGGAGUUGAAGUGAAGGAAUUGGCGUUUUGGACUCAUAGAGCAAGUUGUGCACUCUGAACAGGCUGCUGCUUCAACCUGCUCGAUGGCUUGAACCAUUCCCCCUAUCAUCUCUCAGCCGCUUUCGUAGCUCCACGUGGCAUCUCUCCCCAAGAAAAAGCAAGGAGAGGCUGCUACUUCAUCUGAUUAAGUUGACUCUUCUCCGACACUCCCCCGCACGUUUUGGUAUCAUAGUUUAUCAUACAUCCUCCCCAUCCUUGUUCCAUUUUCUCUUAUUUUCAAACACAUUGACAUAAUAGUACAGCAUCCCCUCUGGUGGUUUGGAGCCGCAUCUUUCACCAUUGUUUGCUGCUGCUAGUCGGGUGAUUGGCUACCCUCUGCUUAACAGGAUGCUAGUCAAGUGUUUGAAGAUCCUGCCCCCUCCCCCUGCUGUUCAAACCCUGUGUUGUCUAGAUUAAACUGAAACCCCUGAACUUCCCCCUUCUUGUUUUUUGAGCCGCUACCAGAAGUUGCUGUCCUCUUUGUAACUAUUGAAAAUAAUAUUUUAUGUGCGAUAAUUUAUGAUGAGCUUAUUAAAUAAAAUGAAACAGUA